rnacentral:rRNA from 1 species
GGUUAAGUUAACAAGGGCGCAUGGUGAAUGCCUUGGCACUAGGAGCCGAUGAAGGACGGGACUAACACCGAUAUGCUUCGGGGAGCUGUACGUAAGCUAUGAUCCGGAGAUUUCCGAAUGGGGCAACCCAGCAGUUUUAAUCAACUGUUACCACUAGAUGAAUUCAUAGUCUAGUUGGAGGUAAACGCUGUGAACUGAAACAUCUCAUUAGCAGCAGGAAUAUAAAGAAAUUUCGAUUCCCUAAGUAGCGGCGAGCGAACGGGGAACAGCCCAAACCAAAGUGCUUGCACUUUGGGGUUGUAGGACUGAACAUUUGAGUUACCAAAGAACUUGAUAGUCGAAGGAUUUGGGAAAAUCCGCCAUAGAUGGUGAUAGCCCAGUAGAUUAAAUCAAAUUCUCUCAGUUCAGGAUCCUGAGUACGGCGGAACACGUGAAAUUCCGUCGGAAUCCGGGAGGACCAUCUCCCAAGGCUAAAUACUACCUAGUGACCGAUAGUGAACCAGUACCGUGAGGGAAAGGUGAAAAGCACCCCGGGAGGGGAGUGAAAUAGUUCCUGAAACCAUGUGCCUACAAUAAGUCAGAGCGCGUUAAUGCGUGAUGGCGUGCCUUUUGUAGAAUGAACCGGCGAGUUAUGAUCCCGUGCAAGGUUAAGACUAAAAAGUCGGAGCCGUAGCGAAAGCGAGUCUGAAAUGGGCGAUUUGAGUACGAGGUUAUAGACCCGAAACCAGGUGACCUAUCCAUGUCCAGGUUGAAGGUGCGGUAAAACGCACUGGAGGACCGAACCCGUGUAAGUUGAAAAUUGCUGGGAUGAGGUGUGGAUAGCGGUGAAAUUCCAAACGAACUUGGAGAUAGCUGGUUCUCUCCGAAAUAGCUUUAGGGCUAGCCUCGGAUUAAGGAUCAUGGAGGUAGAGCACUAUUUGGACUAGGGGCCCGUCUUGGGUUACUGAAUUCAGAUAAACUCCGAAUGCCAUUGAUUCAUGUCCGGGAGUCAGACGAUGAGUGAUAAGAUCCACCGUCGAAAGGGGAACAGCCCAGACCAUCAGUUAAGGUCCCUAAAUGUAUGCUAAGUGGAAAAGGAUGUGGAGUUGCAUAGACAACUAGGAUGUUGGCUCAGAAGCAGCCACCAUUUAAAGAGUGCGUAAUAGCUCACUAGUCGAGUGAUCCUGCGCCGAAAAUGUACCGGGGCUAAGCAUACUACCGAAACCAUGGAUGCGACCAUUAGGUCGCGUGAUAGGAGAGCGUUCUAAGGGCGGUGAAGCAAGAUCGUGAGGACUUGUGGAGCGCUUAGAAGUGAGAAUGCCGGUAUGAGUAGCGAAAGAUAGGUGAGAAUCCUAUCCACCGAAUGACUAAGGUUUCCUGGGGAAGGCUCGUCCUCCCAGGGUUAGUCGGGACCUAAGUCGAGGCCGAGAGGCGUAGACGAUGGAUAACAGGUUGAGAUUCCUGUACUAGUUAAGUGCGUUUGAGCAAUGGAGGGACGCAGGAGGCUAAGAUGUGCAUUCUGUUGGAUUAGAAUGUCCAAGCAGUAAGUCUUGUGGAGAGUCAAAUGCUUUUCACUUUAAGGACAAGCUGUGAUGGGGAGCGAAAUUUAGUAGCGAAGCGUCUGAUGUCACACUGCCGAGAAAAGCUUCUAGUGAGUACUUAACUACCCGUACCGCAAACCGACACAGGUAGUCGAGGAGAGAAUCCUAAGGUGAGCGAGUGAACUCUCGUUAAGGAACUCGGCAAAAUGACCCCGUAACUUCGGGAGAAGGGGUGCUGAUCGCAAGAUCAGCCGCAGUGAAUAGGCCCAGGCGACUGUUUAUCAAAAACACAGGUCUCUGCAAAAUCGUAAGAUGACGUAUAGGGGCUGACGCCUGCCCGGUGCUGGAAGGUUAAAAGGAUGGGUUAGCUUCGGCGAAGCUCAGAAUUGAAGCCCCAGUAAACGGCGGCCGUAACUAUAACGGUCCUAAGGUAGCGAAAUUCCUUGUCGGGUAAGUUCCGACCCGCACGAAAGGCGUAACGAUCUGGGCACUGUCUCAACGAGAGACUCGGUGAAAUUAUAUUGUCCGUGAAGAUGCGGACUACCCGCGACAGGACGGAAAGACCCCAUGGAGCUUUACUGUAGCUUGAUAUUGAGUGUUUGUACAGCUUGUACAGGAUAGGUAGGAGCCAUAGAAACCGGAACGCUAGUUUCGGUGGAGGCGUUGGUGGGAUACUACCCUCGCUGUAUGACCACUCUAACCCGCACCACUAAUCGUGGUGGGGGAGACAGUGUCAGGUGGGCAGUUUGACUGGGGCGGUCGCCUCCUAAAAAGUAACGGAGGCGCCCAAAGGUUCCCUCAGAAUGGUUGGAAAUCAUUCGCAGAGUGUAAAGGCACAAGGGAGCUUGACUGCGAGACAGACAGGUCGAGCAGGGACGAAAGUCGGGCUUAGUGAUCCGGUGGUACCGUAUGGAAGGGCCAUCGCUCAACGGAUAAAAGCUACCCUGGGGAUAACAGGCUUAUCUCCCCCAAGAGUCCACAUCGACGGGGAGGUUUGGCACCUCGAUGUCGGCUCAUCGCAUCCUGGGGCUGUAGUCGGUCCCAAGGGUUGGGCUGUUCGCCCAUUAAAGCGGUACGCGAGCUGGGUUCAGAACGUCGUGAGACAGUUCGGUCCCUAUCCGUCGCGGGCGUAGGAAAUUUGAGAGGACCUGUCCUUAGUACGAGAGGACCGGGAUGGACAUACCUCUGGUGUACCAGUUGUGCCGCCAGGCGCAUCGCUGGGUAGCUACGUAUGGAUGUGAUAAACGCUGAAAGCAUCUAAGUGUGAAACACACCUCGAGAUGAGAUUUUUCCCAUUCCUUUAUGGAAGUAAGACCCCUGAAAGAUGAUCAGGUAGAUAGGUUAGAAGUGGCAGUGCGGUGACGCAUGAAGCGGACUAAUACUAAUCGGUCGAGGACUUAACCAA